rnacentral:lncRNA from 1 species
GUUCCUCGCUCGUUCGGGUGCUACCCCCAAAAAGAUUCACAAUAGACAUUUUGCAAGAGCAACCAGCACUGUCAGUCGCAGUAGCGGGUUUCUUAUUGCAUUAGUUUUUUUUUCUUCGCCUGGCAGCCAGACAGGUACCGGACAUUUCGGUCCUUCUGCUGUACGCGUAGUGGUUUGGUAGACGUGGUUUUGCUUGCAGGGGUCCCGUUUUAGUUCCCUUUCUCAGUCCCUAUACAGUGCACUCGCUCGGGGUGGCAGUUUCCGUUUCACAGCGCUGUCACGUUGCCGGAAGAGUAUUAUCUCCGUUGUCAGGAGCUCAGUUUGGCACUGGCAAUUUUGGUCCCACAGAUUUGCUAUUUUGCGUCGUGCUGCUGUUGGGCACAAGUUCACUGUAACACGGCCCCACCUUCAGCACUGUUACUUUACCUUGGCGAGUUCAGUCACUUUUUCCGCGCCACAUUUUUUUAUUUCGCGCUGGAGGCGUUUCGCCAAUUCGUUAGCAGCGUGUAUGAUAGGAUGUGGAAGCUCGAGAGUAGUGCAAGCAUGGCGGCCUACGCAUAUAGGAGCGCCGACCAGGCGCGUUCUUGUUUUCGGCCCGCGUCGCACUCGGUUCCACAGAUGGCCACGCUUCCCCGGCGCUGAGUGUUGUAGGAUUCAGCCUGUGCCAUGCGGGAGAGCUCUCUGAGGCCAGUUGUAUCGUGUUUUCGUUCUAUCCACUCAUAGCACGCAACGGUAGUCCUCGAGCCGUUCGUUGCUGAGGCAUGCUGAGCGGGAAGUGGACCGGGCGUAGGUAUCACUAUUAUCCCGUUUCAGCGCAGCACUGCAGGCCCGGUUUCACGACUCCCGGCGUAUCGACGUGCACCAGGUGACACAGGUCGAGUUUGCAGUGUUGCCGUUGGCUGUAAUAGCCCAAGUUAUUCGUGCGAAAGUGCCUUCCGUGCGGAGUAGCGGGAUAUGCCCACAUGGUUCAAAGUCUGCGAUGAGGCUAGUCAUCCGAGGCACUCCAAGUAGGCAUUGACGGGGUCCUGUCUGGCGGGCUGUACGUACACCGGGACACGUCGCGCGCUGCACGAUUUCGAGACGGCCCUCGAAGGCAGGAAGCGUCCCUCAGCCCAGUAGACGGUCACAAUCGUCUCUCCGUGAUUGCAUGAACGCACCCGCCGCAUACAAGGAAAACGGCGAAAAAAGGGAACGCGCGACGCCGCGACGGACACGUGUAUCUGCCGGCUACUUCCUCGUUUUCUGUUACGGGCACGACGGCGGCGUUCUGCUGCUUGUCACGGCUACGAAACACUCCGGGCCUAAGGAACCCGCGCACGGUUUCCGACGCUUUGCGUGGAGGAAGCCCACGAGACCACCCCUCGAAGCGACACGGAAAAGCUCGUAGGUGGUGCGGUGCCGGGUGACAUGUUACGUUUUCUCACUCUGGAACGUUUCCAGGCGAGAGUCCAUCUGGAUACACGCGGGAAAUUGGUGCUUUCGGACGCCUUUCCUGUUUCCAUUUCACCGUGCUUGUCCGUCAAGCAGGCACUUUUUUUCCAGCAGCGCCCCUGCUCGUUCAGGGAUGAUCCCCCGCGUUGCCGCUAGGGGCACCGGGAUGACUCAACAGCGCCCCUGUGGACUGCAACUUUUUCUUGCGGCCAGGGUGACCUCUUUUUCUGUGCACGUCGGCUGUUUCAGAUUCCCCUGUUGCUCUCUUCCGGAGAUGCGACGGGCGCGGGAUCUAGCAGCCUCCACGUUGCCUUUUGUUUCCAGGCGAGACGCUUCACGCCUCUUUUUCAACAGCGCCCCUACGUUCCUGGCACACGCUUCGCGCGUGGGUAACGCCGGGACAGGGAGGAACUUUCUCUGUGUCUUUGCGCGCUGAGCAGCCCCGCUUGUCCCUUUCGUUCCUUCAGAAGCUUCGUGCAACAGGAUCACCUUUCACGACACGGUUCGCCUAGGGAGAACGGCACGGGCCGUCGGACAGGCAGUCGACCUCGUGUUCACAUCGCACCGGAGGCCGGCGAUUUGGAGUCUCCCUGCAGACCCAAUGCACGCCGCGUCCCUCUCCAGACAAAACGGGAUGUCCUGGCGACGAAACACGCGUGGUAGAGAGAAUGGUGCAGAUGUACCGUCAGCAAACGGAAAACGCACGACUGGUAUUUACGGCGGACAGGCGAGAAAUACCAAGCGUUUCGCGACAGCUUACUUGGAGGACGCACCCGUUCCGGUCUUGCGUCGUACGGGAGGAUUCAAGCAGAGAGGUUGAAGCUUAGAGGCAGAGAGGUGUAACCAAGUUUCUAAGAAUGCCGUUGAUGCCCUCUUACGCCGUGUAGAGUGGGAUGUGGCGCACAGCCCCAGCGGGCUGUGCGCCGUACGGCACAUUUGCCUACGCCGUGUGUCUCCCUGAAGCUGCAGCCGCGGGAAGUCUGCCUUUGGUCGCACGGCUUGCAAAGGAAUCGAGAGGUCACACACACAAUGGGCGUGAGGCGGCUUCGGUAAAAGCUGCUCAUCCGGCGCGAGAUCCGUACAGUACGUCGCUUAAACAGGCAAGGCGUAGAGCUGCUCUGGCCGUGAGCGUGUAGAGGGCGCCAAGAAAGAGGCAAAAAGCUUCACAUUUCCGGCAAAACGGCAGAAGGCAACUUCAACGGAUAGGCCGAGUCGCCACAUAGCGUCGCCAGUGGAUCACGCUUCGCACCUGCCGUUCAGUUCAGAGGCUGUCGUUGCAGUCACGUCAUCGGCGAGCAGGAGGGGCAUGCGCAGAAAGCCAGUAUUUGUUCCGUACUUCACAAAUGUGGAAGUUCCGGAACUUUCGCUAGCAAGAAACGCGACCGGUGUCGGCAGCGAGAUGGUUUUUCAAAGCGGAGGCGGAGCGGCGCGCGACAAAUUUAGAGGCGGUCGCUGCGUCGGAUCGUGGUCCUUCACAGAUUGGUACGCGAUCUCUUAGGGGAGCGAAGAGCGUGAAAUCGCCACGGAAGGUGCACACGACGUUCCUCACGAGCAGAGUGUGUAGAGGACGCUUCCUCGGUAGAGAGACCCGUCUGUUCCACGAGUAUACACCUGGAGUGUAUUUAUAUCAAGGCGCACUGACGCGCGCGCCCCGCCGAGAAGCUAGCAGUGGGUCCGAUUUCGACACUCGCUUCGUUCCCCUCUCUCUUUCUUCCGCCCCUGCGGGCUCCUCCACAACUGCCUCGGGCAGUCUGUUCCGGCCGUUGGUGUGGCGGGUGAAGUUUUAUGAGCCACAGAUAGUAGGAAAGCUGGCGCGAGAGAGAGCACAGGGCCUCACGUCUCUGGACUCGCACGUGGGCGACCUUCGGGCCGCGGGAGCGUUCAUCGGUUCUCCCAGGACAGGUUUCUGAGGCAAGCUGUGGUCGGUUUGGGUGCGCGAGAACGGUAGCUAGAGGGCACCGUGGCAAUCAGCGAUGCGUUGGCGUUUCCGCACUCUCGAGCGCAGUUGCAGCGAGCACUCCUGUCAGGAUUCUGGAGACAAGACGCACCUGGUGAACGGGCUCUCUGGCAGGCUUUCCGUUUUUACGGCAGGGGCGAUGCCGUUUUUCCAGCUGCACGAACUGCACAGUCGGAAAGUUGCCGUCUCUCAGGCCGUCCGGUGGGGUCUUUUUUCGGCGCCGUUUCGUGCGCAUCCCUCAUUGAGCGCCGGGAGGCAUCCCGCGUUCUCCGUUGCUUUUGGCGUGUCCUUGCUCUCUGGUGUGUGUGCGAUCUAUGUGCACCCCUAGAGAAAGGCGUCGCAUCUUCCGUUUUCCAUGGACGCAACGGGCGCGAAACGGUGCUUGCGUCGCCGGCUCCGACAAAGAGGCUUCGGUUCGCCCUCCAAAGACUCUCGCGCGUUUUCUCCUUUUCUCAGGCUUUCGCGAGAGAGGAGUUCCGAGGCUGGCUUCCGUGCGCGUGUAUGUACACCUCUCCUGGGCGUCGAGUUUCGACUGCCGUUCGCCUCCGGGCGUUUUUUGGCGGAUUUCCCGUCUUUUUUCUGUGGCGCAGCCCUGUCUGUGUCCCUUGCCCCCUUUUUGCUUUUUCCUCCCCCGCCUCGCUCUGCCUUGAAGGUAGCCUGUAGGUGUUUUUGUGUGCCUGUCUUCGCGAACGCUGCUCGGGCACGUUUGGAGCGGAGAGAGGGUGGCGACGUAUGCGCCUUUCCUUUUGUGUUUCCAAGCGACUCGCGCGGGAAAAUCCGGUUGGAAAAUGUUGCCUGUGGAUGCGACGGGAGAGAUUCCUCCGGGUCUCUCUUCGUUGCCAUCGCACACGGGACAUACUUCCGAGGGGAGGGUGUUAGCUGCCCUAGUCGGCUGUGCACCGCGGUGAAGUCGCCCCGCUUCGUGGGUUUUUCCCUUUCUCUGUCGCUUGCUCUUUCUGGAGCUCUGUCCUGUUUUCUCUUGUUUCGGGAAACGAGAGGAAGCACGCAGACGCUCUGUGUAGUUGGCGGCAGAGAGAGAGGGAAAAUCCACGAAGCGAGGCAGGCCUUGCUCGCGCGCGCCUCCGUUUGGCGAGGUCCGUCAUGUUGUCGGGAGACGUGUCUUAAGAAGAUUGGUGGCGCCUCGCGCUGCGACUGCGGCCUGCAGAGUGUCGUCGCCCGAGAGGCUGGUACUGGCGCUGCAGGUUGCUGGCGCGCGAGAGAGGACAGCCUUUCUUCUCGAAACUGUCUCUUCCUGCUGGGAGCAGCAGGCGCCGUCCGCUCUUUGUGUGUGACUGACUGUGUCUCUGCCCGUGCGCUCCUUUCAAAAGAGAAGGCCCCUUCUCAGACGCAGUUUCGCCCGCUUCCAGCGUCUGUGCCGUGUGUUUGUUCUGGUCUCGCGCCUGCGUCUCUCGGACAGUUGAAGGUGUGUGGUGUCGCGUCUUUCUUUUCUUCACACGUGCGAGUGUGAAGGGAGAGAAACCAGCAUACGCAUCUCCUGUCAGAGAGUGCAGCGGAGCCGGAACUGCGUUGCCUGGCGAAGACACUGCGUUGAGUAGAAGUGUCUCGAGGCGAAUCUCAGCCCCUCCUUUCGAGGGACUCUCCACGGAGAUAUCGCGUCGCGGAGAAUCGAGAGACAGGAAGGUACAUCUGCAGCCCCAUGUAUGCGCAUGUAUCGCCCCUUCGCGCCCUGCUUUCGUUUCUGUGGCGACUUCGGAGUUGCUACACACGUCGGGUACCGCGUUCGAGCAAGCAUGUCCAGGCCUGCAAGCGGUGAAGCGCCUGUGAUGCCCCUGGAAAAAGAAAGUUCAAGAUUCGUGGAGAAAAGAGGCUUCUUUGCACGUGUGCCGUGAUGUGGCGUGUCGUCUAGCGGACGGUGGACACAUGACGGGGCCGACACUACAGGGAGGUCGGCCCUCACUGAGAGAGGCGGGGCAGGAGCCUCUCUCACCGGAUUUUUUUCAAAAAUAUCCUUGCCCAUCUGGGUUGCUUUUUCGGGUGUCUUGCCCAUGUCCUCGAGCUUUACGGCUGCAAAACAGAGGUCUAGGUGGGAGUGCGCAGAGGACAGUAACACGAAAGAUGCAGGCAAAAACAGGUAAGUCAAACACCCGAUAGUAUUGUGUGCACACAGGCAUGUAGACGUUUCGACGAAAGCGACUCGAAAGCCCUCCGGGGAGACUCCUUCCCGCGCCAACUUUCUUUCCCAGCAGCUUUUUCCCGACCAUUCGAGGGAUCGCGGUUCUGGCAGGAAAAGCCGUUUUAGUUGACCAAGAAAAUCGCGUAGGAUUGGAAUCGAGCGGGAUCUGUGGUCUUCAGGUUGGCGGGGUGUUUCACGCAAAGCAGAGAGGCCUGGCUCCUAGCUUUUCCCGUUUUUGUUUAGCAGCCUCAAUGAAGGCAGCUUUUUCAAAACACUCGUAUCUCCGCUUGACGAUUGUACACUGACAGCGUGGUAAGGUUUUCCUUUGGUUCCGUGAGGACUUUCAGUUCCCAUGAAACUGAUGCAUGACACAAGAAACGGUCUCAAAAGAUUCAGCUGGCAGAUUGUUGAUAAAAAACGUCUUGAGCAC